rnacentral:rRNA from 1 species
UACGGGGGGGGCAAGCGUUGUUCGGAAUUACUGGGCGUAAAGGGCUCGUAGGCGGCCAACUAAGUCAGACGUGAAAUCCCUCGGCUUAACCGGGGAACUGCGUCUGAUACUGGAUGGCUUGAAUCCGGGAGAGGGAUGCGGAAUUCCAGGUGUAGCGGUGAAAUGCGUAGAUAUCUGGAGGAACACCGGUGGCGAAGGCGGCAUCCUGGACCGGCAUUGACGCUGAGGCGCGAAAGCGUGGGGAGCGAACAGG